UACGGAGGGUGCGAGCGUUGUCCGGAAUCACUGGGCGUAAAGGGCGCGUAGGCGGCCUUCUAAGUCAGACGUGAAAUCCCCAGGCUUAACUUGGGAACUGCGUCUGAUACUGGGAGGCUUGAGUGCGGGAGAGGGAUGUGGAAUUCCAGGUGUAGCGGUGAAAUGCGUAGAUAUCUGGAGGAACACCGGUGGCGAAGGCGGCAUCCUGGACCGACACUGACGCUGAGGCGCGAAAGCUAGGGGAGCAAACGGG
rnacentral:rRNA from 1 species